UAUCUAUACUCUAUACCUAUUAAUAAAGGCAAUACUUUUCUUUUGGUGUAGCCUUUUUUAGUUCCAAUUUUGCCCUGGAAUAAGUCGGUUAUAUUACUUAUAUAUCCUUUCAAAAUCACAUUGAAUUGAAUGAUAACUUCAGUGUCAGUUUCCUUCCCUUAUCUUAACCCUUGAACUGAAAAAAAAUAGGAAAAACUAUUCGUUCUUAAAUUUCCUUUUGUGUGGAGGUGUGAGAGGCACAGCUCUGAUCAAACUGUUGAACAAAGAACAUUCAGGCAGUCAAUUGACAUUGCGAUUGUGGCACUGGACCAGAUUUUUUUGGUUCGAGUUGCAACAUUAUGAACAUUCAAUGAGUUUGUAGAUGCCCUCAAAUUAACAAUCCAUAAAGCAAAGAGGAAAAAAUACAUCUUCCAAACACAAAAGAAAGGGGGGAAAGAAAAAGAAAAUGGUAGGAAAGUAGGGGAUAUGGAGGUCAUCCUCUAAUGGUGGGUUCAACGUAGACUAUACUCUCUUGGCAAUCACACCAAUGAUGGAAGGAUAAAGGUUGCGCAAAAGACCGAGAAAGUGGUUUAUUCAUAGUUUUCAUUGCAUGUAACAAAGUUUUAACGAAAGCACAUUCACUUUGUUUUGAAAACA